rnacentral:rRNA from 1 species
UACGAAGGGUGCAAGCGUUACUCGGGAUUACUGGGCGUAAAGCGUGCGUAGGUGGUUUUUUAAGUCCGUUGUGAAAGCCCUGGGCUCAACCUGGGAAUGGCAGUGGAUACUGGAAAGCUAGAGUGCGGUAGAGGGUAGUGGAAUUCCCGGUGUAGCAGUGAAAUGCGUAGAGAUCGGGAGGAACACCAGUGGCGAAGGCGGCUACCUGGACCAGCACUGACACUGAGGCACGAAAGCGUGGGGAGCAAACAGG